rnacentral:lncRNA from 1 species
GUGGGGCACCUUUAGGAGAUGCUGUCCUUUUUGUCCUGCCUUGCUCCUGGGAUGCUGACCGCCGGCCUGUCAGCUUUCGGAGAAACAGGAAACGCUCGCAGGCUGGUCCACCCUUGGCACUCUUGGUUAUUUCCAGGUCCAGAAAGCAAUGUAAAACUCAUCCUGUUACGGCCUCACAUACAGUAUAUUGCAGCCAACAGGAAUUCAGUCAACUUUAGGACAUCCCAGCUGUACAUGUUACAUCAAGUCACCAGCUCACUGAUGCUAACCACGGCAUAAUUUGGUCUGGAGGAGACCGGAAGAAUUGAGAGAGUUCAAGACUUGUCCGUGAGUCCCCCAAAGGUCCCAUAGCCUGGGAACUGAGCCCAGCUCUGCCUAAAACCCAGGGAUUCAGGAAUGGGGGAUUUUCUAAGGCUGGUUUACUUCUUGCGUACAUGUACACAUGCACACACGCACUCACACACACACACACACGCAUGUACGUAAUUGUUUUGAGAGUCAAGCUUCUUCUUUACUGAGAGCUGCCUUUCCAUAAAAAGAGGUCAGUUGCUUCUUCUGGAAGCCAUGCUAGCCUUUGGCUGGCCCCAGAAUUUCUCCCAUUCGACCAGUCCCUCUCUGGGCUGGGAGUCACAAGCAUUGUUCCCAAGAGCUGCCUGGCACUGCUUUUCCUAAGGACUGGAAAUUUUUGAGAACAAGAGCCAGGAUAGACUUUUUGAAAUUCCUUACAAUACUUUCAAAAAUAUAUACACUUAAAAAGUAACCCAGUGGUGGUGUUCCCUGGUGGCACAGUGGGUUAAGGAUCCAGUGUUGUCACUGCAGUGACUUGGGUUGCUGCUGUGGCCUGGGUUUGAUCCCUGGCCUGGAAACUUACACAUGCCUCAAGCACAGUGUCUCCCCCUCCCCCCAAAGGUAACCCAAUGAACAGCAAACAUUUUCUAUACUUUUAAAGUGUCUCCUGAUCUUGGCUUAUGAUAUAAUCAUGCAUUUUUUAUAGACCCCCAUCUCUGUGUGUUUCUUUUGCAUUUUACUUUCUGUCUAAAUAUCCUGCAGUAUACACUGCAAAACAUUUCCAUGUGUUUCAGUUAUUUGUUACUGUGUAACAAACUUCCUCAAUAUUUAGUGGCUUAAAACAACCUUGAUGUAUUAUUUUUCAGGAUCCUGUGCGUUGGGGGCUGGGUGAUUCUUCUGCUCCAUAGGGUGUUACUCAGAUAGCUGCAUUUUGCUGGGAGCUCAGCUGGGCAGCUUUGUUCCUUUUCUUGAGCUGCUUCAUUCUUCCAGGUGGCCCCACACUCCUCCUGGCUAAACAGGACUUCUCAAGGCAGCUGGGUCCUAAGAGGGAACUUUCCAAGAGAACAGAUCUAAAGCAGAAGCACUUAUCAUGGCUGCUCCUGUGUCAUGCCUCCUUAAAGUCCUGUUGGCCAAGGCCAGGGACCAUGUGGGGGGACUACCCAAGGGCAUUGAUUCUAGGGGGGGCAGGCUUCCUGGGAUGGCACAUCCGCCACAAUGGAACAGUCUACCUCCACUUUCUUCUUAUUCCAGAACACUAGUCAUAGUUGUGGAUUUGAUAUUUUCAGGCUUAACCAUUUGAGAGCAAACCUGAUGUUAGGAUCGUGAUUUUGCAAGACUGAUAUUAGAAUUCUGCCUCCAGGCCAGUGCUGAAGUGAGCAUCACUUACUGGUGAGUGAGCCUGGCUGUCUACAGAGCACCUGACUCUUAUCAAGGGCUUGGAUGCUCCCCACUCAUCUUGGCUACAGGUUAGCUCUUGUGAAGUUGCAAGGGAGUGGGGGAGAAGACACCAGUUUUUCUUUGUAGAGAGAAAAAGGACCUCAGGUGAGGUAAAAACUAGCAAUGGUGGAAAAGAUGUGAGACAAAGCACAAGACACACAGGGACUCUCUGUGAUGACAUGAUCCUGAGGCUGAGGAGCUGGAUGUUUCCUAAUAUGCAUGUUUGAAGAUUAGCAAAAGUCUUGAAGCAUAGCCACUGCAAAUGUCAUGUAGCUACUGUUUUAAGUAAUACGUCUUUUGCUGAGGGAGGGAGGGAGGGAUAAACUAGAAGUAUGAGAUGAACAGAUAUACACAGCUAUAUGUAAGAUAAAUAACAAGGACCUAUUAUAUGGCACAAGGAACUAUAUUCAAUAUCUUAUAAUAACCUAUUAUGGAAAAGAAUCUGAAAAAGAAGAUAUAUAUAUGUCUCUGUCUGAAUCACUUUGGUGUUUACUUGAAAGUAACACUAUAUUGUAAAUCAACUAUACUUCAGUUGAAAAAAAGGCUUUUGCUGAUAUCAAUAUAAUUUAACUAUAAAAGGAGACUAAUUCACCCGGAAGCACCCCUCCCAUCUCCAGAUCCCCUUUCUGAAUACCUUUCAAGGAAGGGCCACACAGCCAGGGACUACUCAUCUGUCCAACAGCAGUCAGUGAUGUACUCAUGACUUUGCCACUUGUGGUUUUUUCCCCAGGCUCUGGUCAUAUUCCUGCACGAUUCAUGGUAAGUGUAAGCACAGGGUAGGCACACUUUGUAUUCUUUUAAAAACUCAUCAAACACACCUUUCUUUUUCCUAGUCCAUGUCACAGUUUACUCAACUCUUCCUAUUGCAAGUAGAUAUCUGGGCUUUCUACACUGUUGCAUUAUAAAUAGUAUGGCUAUAAAUACCUUUGCAAGUCUUUUAUUUUGUAUUAUUUCCUCAAAGGGAAUGAAUUUAUACUCCCUGACCCACUUGCCUCUAAAGUGGGUCAGGGAGUGUCUAUAUAGAGCUCUUGUUGCAUAUUUCCAAACUGUUCCUAGAACCACCUCACCAAAAUAAAUUCCAGAUGGAUUAGAGUUAGAUACUAAAAAAAAAAAAAACCCAUAAAAAUCUAAAGGAAAACAAACAAAAAUAAGUAAUAUAAUCAUUGGAGAUGAAAGGGCUUUCUAAGUUUAAAAGGGAAAUAAGCAUUCAAGAAAAGAUUGAUCGAUUUGAUUAAAAAAGCCACACUGAGCUGAGGAAAGACUUUCCUGUGGUGACAAGAGAAAUAUACUUUUACGCAAAGGCUAAUGGCCUCUGCAUUCCAAGGACAUGUAGGCAAUGAAAUCCUUUCCCAGGAAUAUCACAGAAAUAGUGUGUACUGUGUGGGACAAAAUAUACUCCGCUUGGAAACCAGCAUGAGAAAACACUCAGUUUGCCUGAAAUGAACAUUGUGGCUAAACAGUUCAACUAAGUCUGGUGCUGCAGUUCUAAAGUUUUUAAAAAUUAAGAGACUAUCUGGUGAAAGAUGUUGAUGGAUAAGGUGCCAAAGUAUAAAAGUAUUAAAAUUCUUACUGUAUCAUUAAAUGGAAAAGGAAAACAAUAUUGUUCCAAAGAAAUGAAAGAUAUGAGUAGACAAAUCACAAGGGUGCAAUUGAUUAUUAAACAAUUGAUAAAGAUUUACUAAUCAAAGAAAUGCACAUUUAAAAGAAGACAUGUUUUUUCCAUCUAUCAAGUUAGCUGACUUGAAAAAUGUACAAUAUCCAGGAUUAGAAAAAAAGUGCUGUUGUAGAAAGGGUGACUAACCCACUGGCCGUAGG